UACGUAGGGUGCAAGCGUUGUCCGGAAUUAUUGGGCGUAAAGAGCUCGUAGGCGGUUUGUCGCGUCGAAUGUGAAAACCCGGGGCUCAACCCCGGGCCUGCAUUCGAUACGGGCAGACUAGAGUUCGGUAGGGGAGUCUGGAAUUCCUGGUGUAGCGGUGAAAUGCGCAGAUAUCAGGAGGAACACCGGUGGCGAAGGCGGCCUUCUGGACCAGUACUGACGCUCAUGCACGAAAGCGUGGGGAGCAAACAGG
rnacentral:rRNA from 1 species